rnacentral:rRNA from 1 species
UACGUAGGGUGCAAGCGUUGUCCGGAAUUAUUGGGCGUAAAAGAGCUCGUAGGCGGUUUGUCGCGUCUGCUGUGAAAACCCGAGGCUCAACCUCGGGCCUGCAGUGGGUACGGGGCAGACUAGAGUGCGGUAGGGGGAGAUUGGAAUUCCUGGUGUAGCGGUGGAAUGCGCAGAUAUCAGGAGGAACACCAAUGGCGAAGGCAGAUCUCUGGGCCGUAACUGACGCUGAGGAGCGAAAGCAUGGGGGAGCGAACAGG